rnacentral:rRNA from 1 species
CCUACGGGAGGCUGCCGUGGGGAAUAUUGGACAAUGGGCGAAAGCCUGAUCCAGCCAUGCCGCGUGUGUGAAGAAGGCCUUCGGGUUGUAAAGCACUUUCAGUGGGGAAGAAAGCCUUGGGGCUAAUACCCUCGAGGAAGGACAUCACCCACAGAAGAAGCACCGGCUAACUCCGUGCCAGCAGCCGCGGUAAUACGGAGGGUGCGAGCGUUAAUCGGAAUUACUGGGCGUAAAGCGCGCGUAGGCGGUCUGAUAAGCCGGUUGUGAAAGCCCCGGGCUCAACCUGGGAACGGCAUCCGGAACUGUCAGGCUAGAGUGCAGGAGAGGAAGGUAGAAUUCCCGGUGUAGCGGUGAAAUGCGUAGAGAUCGGGAGGAAUACCAGUGGCGAAGGUGGCCUUCUGGACUGACACUGACGCUGAGGUGCGAAAGCGUGGGUAGCAAACAGGAUUAGAUACCCGGGUAGUC